rnacentral:misc_RNA from 1 species
AACCUUAUGGACCUGCGGGCGUAUACCUGCGGAGGGAUCAUUACCGAGUUAGGGUAGUUACUCGCUGCCCGACCUCCCAACCCUGUGUCUACCACACUUUGUCGUUGCUUCGGCGGACCGGUCGACCAACUGGUCGUGACCGCCGGGGGCUGGCUCUGUCACCCCUGGAGAGCGUCCGCCGAUGGCCCAACCACAAACUCUUGUACCGAAACGUGUCGUCUGAAUAAUUGAGAAAUCAAA